rnacentral:rRNA from 1 species
AUUGAACGCUGGCGGCAUGCCUUACACAUGCAAGUCGAACGGCAGCAUGGGUGCUUGCACCUGAUGGCGAGUGGCGAACGGGUGAGUAAUACAUCGGAACGUACCCGGAAGUGGGGGAUAACGUAGCGAAAGUUACGCUAAUACCGCAUAUUCUGUGAGCAGGAAAGAGGGGGAUCGCAAGACCUCUCGCUUUCGGAGCGGCCGAUGUCAGAUUAGCUAGUUGGUAGGGUAAAAGCCUACCAAGGCGACGAUCUGUAGCGGGUCUGAGAGGAUGAUCCGCCACACUGGGACUGAGACACGGCCCAGACUCCUACGGGAGGCAGCAGUGGGGAAUUUUGGACAAUGGGGGCAACCCUGAUCCAGCCAUGCCGCGUGAGUGAAGAAGGCCUUCGGGUUGUAAAGCUCUUUCGGCGGGGAAGAAAUCGCAUCUCCUAAUACGGGGUGUGGAUGACGGUACCCGAAUAAGAAGCACCGGCUAACUACGUGCCAGCAGCCGCGGUAAUACGUAGGGUGCGAGCGUUAAUCGGAAUUACUGGGCGUAAAGCGUGCGCAGGCGGUUUUGUAAGACAGAUGUGAAAUCCCCGGGCUCAACCUGGGAACUGCAUUUGUGACUGCAAGGCUAGAGUAUGGCAGAGGGGGGUGGAAUUCCACGUGUAGCAGUGAAAUGCGUAGAGAUGUGGAGGAACACCGAUGGCGAAGGCAGCCCCCUGGGCCAAUACUGACGCUCAUGCACGAAAGCGUGGGGAGCAAACAGGAUUAGGUACCCUGGUAGUCCACGCCCUAAACGAUGUCAACUAGGUGUUGGUGGGGUUAAACCCAUUAGUACCGUAGCUAACGCGUGAAGUUGACCGCCUGGGGAGUACGGCCGCAAGGUUAAAACUCAAAGGAAUUGACGGGGACCCGCACAAGCGGUGGAUGAUGUGGAUUAAUUCGAUGCAACGCGAAAAACCUUACCUACCCUUGACAUGUCCAGGAUCCUGAAGAGAUUUGGGAGUGCUCGAAAGAGAACUGGAACACAGGUGCUGCAUGGCUGUCGUCAGCUCGUGUCGUGAGAUGUUGGGUUAAGUCCCGCAACGAGCGCAACCCUUGUCAUUAAUUGCCAUCAUUUAGUUGGGCACUUUAAUGAGACUGCCGGUGACAAACCGGAGGAAGGUGGGGAUGACGUCAAGUCCUCAUGGCCCUUAUGGGUAGGGCUUCACACGUCAUACAAUGGUCGGUACAGAGGGUUGCCAAGCCGCGAGGUGGAGCCAAUCCCAGAAAGCCGAUCGUAGUCCGGAUCGUAGUCUGCAACUCGACUACGUGAAGUCGGAAUCGCUAGUAAUCGCGGAUCAGCAUGUCGCGGUGAAUACGUUCCCGGGUCUUGUACACACCGCCCGUCACACCAUGGGAGCGGGUUCUACCAGAAGCAGUUAGCCUAACCGCAAGGAGGGCGAUUGCCACGGUAGGAUUCGUGACUGGGGUG